rnacentral:rRNA from 1 species
CUACUAGGGUUUCUAAUCCUGUUCGCUCCCCACGCUUUCGCUCCUCAGCGUCAGUAAUGGCCCAGAGAUCCGCCUUCGCCACCGGUGUUCCUCCUGAUAUCUGCGCAUUUCACCGCUACACCAGGAAUUCCGAUCUCCCCUACCACACUCUAGCUAGCCCGUAUCGACUGCAGACCCGGGGUUAAGCCCCGGGCUUUCACAAUCGACGUGACAAGCCGCCUACGAGCUCUUUACGCCCAAUAAUUCCGGACAACGCUUGCGCCCUACGUAUUACCGCGGCUGCUGGCAC